GGAGAGGUGCUGGAGUGGCUGAACAGGCACGCCUGGAAAGCGUGUAGGGGCUUUACGGUCCCUCGUGGGUUCGAAUCCCACCCUCUCCGCCA
rnacentral:tRNA from 1 species